rnacentral:rRNA from 1 species
AGAGUUUGAUCCUGGCUCAGAUUGAACGCUGGCGGCAUGCCUUACACAUGCAAGUCGAACGGCAGCACGGACUUCGGUCUGGUGGCGAGUGGCGAACGGGUGAGUAAUACAUCGGAACGUGUCCUGUAGUGGGGGAUAGCCCGGCGAAAGCCGGAUUAAUACCGCAUACGCUCUACGGAGGAAAGGGGGGGAUCUUAGGACCUCUCGCUACAGGGGCGGCCGAUGGCAGAUUAGCUAGUUGGUGGGGUAAAGGCCUACCAAGGCGACGAUCUGUAGCUGGUCUGAGAGGACGACCAGCCACACUGGGACUGAGACACGGCCCAGACUCCUACGGGAGGCAGCAGUGGGGAAUUUUGGACAAUGGGCGCAAGCCUGAUCCAGCAAUGCCGCGUGUGUGAAGAAGGCCUUCGGGUUGUAAAGCACUUUUGUCCGGAAAGAAAACCUCCGCCCUAAUAUGGUGGGGGGAUGACGGUACCGGAAGAAUAAGCACCGGCUAACUACGUGCCAGCAGCCGCGGUAAUACGUAGGGUGCAAGCGUUAAUCGGAAUUACUGGGCGUAAAGCGUGCGCAGGCGGUUCGCUAAGACAGAUGUGAAAUCCCCGGGCUUAACCUGGGAACUGCAUUUAUGACUGGCGGGCUAGAGUAUGGCAGAGGGGGGUAGAAUUCCACGUAGCAGUGAAAUGCGUAGAGAUGUGGAGGAAUACCGAUGGCGAAGGCAGCCCCCUGGGCCAAUACUGACGCUCAUGCACGAAAGCGUGGGGAGCAAACAGGAUUAGAUACCCCCGUAGUCC